GUGAGCGUAGCUCAGUCGGUAGAGCUCUGGAUUGUGGAUCCAGCGGCCGCGGGUUCAAGUCCCGUCGCUCACCCCA
rnacentral:tRNA from 1 species